CAGUCGCCACGGUAAUACGAAGGGGGCUAGCGUUGUUCGGAAUUACUGGGCGUAAAGCGCACGUAGGCGGAUAUUUAAGUCAGAGGUGAAAGCCCGGGGCUCAACCCCGGAACUGCCUUUGAAACUAGGUGACUAGAAUCUUGGAGAGGUCAGUGGAAUUCCGAGUGUAGAGGUGGAAUUCGUAGAUAUUCGGAAGAACACCAGUGGCGAAGACGACUGACUGGACAAGUAUUGACGCUGAGGUGCGAAAGCGUGGGGAGCAAACAGGAUUAGAUACCCCAGUAGUCCCUGUCUCUUAUAA
rnacentral:rRNA from 1 species